rnacentral:rRNA from 1 species
UACGAAGGGGGCUAGCGUUGCUCGGAAUCACUGGGCGUAAAGGGUGCGUAGGCGGGUCUUUUAAGUCAGAGGUGAAAUCCUGGAGCUCAACUCCAGAACUGCCUUUGAUACUGAGGAUCUUGAGUUCGGGAGAGGUGAGUGGAACUGCGAGUGUAGAGGUGAAAUUCGUAGAUAUUCGCAAGAACACCAGUGGCGAAGGCGGUUACCUGGAGCUUUGCUGACGCUGAUGCGCGAAAGCGUGGGGAGCGAUCCGG